GAUGAACGCUGGCGGCGUGCCUAAUACAUGCAAGUCGAGCGAAUGGAUUAAGAGCUUGCUCUUAUGAAGUUAGCGGCGGACGGGUGAGUAACACGUGGGUAACCUGCCCAUAAGACUGGGAUAACUCCGGGAAACCGGGGCUAAUACCGGAUAACAUUUUGAACCGCAUGGUUCGAAAUUGAAAGGCGGCUUCGGCUGUCACUUAUGGAUGGACCCGCGUCGCAGUAGCUAGUUGGUGAGGUAACGGCUCACCAAGGCAACGAUGCGUAGACGACCUGAGAGGGUGAUCGGCCACACUGGGACUGAGACACGGCCCAGACUCCUACGGGAGGCAGCAGUAGGGAAUCUUCCGCAAUGGACGAAAGUCUGACGGAGCAACGCCGCGUGAGUGAUGAAGGCUUUCGGGUCGUAAAACUCUGUUGUUAGGGAAGAACAAGUGCUAGUUGAAUAAGCUGGCACCUUGACGGUACCUAACCAGAAAGCCACGGCUAACUACGUGCCAGCAGCCGCCGUAA
rnacentral:rRNA from 1 species